rnacentral:rRNA from 1 species
UUAAGUUAUUAAGGGCGCACGGUGGAUGCCUUGGCACUAGAAGCCGACGAAGGACGUUACUAACGACGAUAUGCUUUGGGUAGCUGUAAGUAAGCGUUGAUCCAGAGAUUUCCGAAUGGGGGAACCCAGCACGAGUUAUGUCGUGUUAUCGACAAGUGAAUUCAUAGCUUGUCAGAAGGCAGACCCGGAGAACUGAAACAUCUUAGUACCCGGAGGAAGAGAAAGAAAAAUCGAUUCCCUGAGUAGCGGCGAGCGAAACGGGAAGAGCCCAAACCAAUAAGCUUGCUUAUUGGGGUUGUAGGACACUCUAUACGGAGUUACAAAGGAAUAUAUUAGACGAAUCAUCUGGAAAGUUGAAUCAAAGAAGGUAAUAAUCCUGUAGUUGAAAAUAUAUUCUCUCUUGAGUGGAUCCUGAGUACGACGGAGCACGUGAAAUUCCGUCGGAAUCUGGGAGGACCAUCUCCUAAGGCUAAAUACUCUCUAGUGACCGAUAGUGAACCAGUACCGUGAGGGAAAGGUGAAAAGUACCCCGGAAGGGGAGUGAAAGAGAACUUGAAACCGUGUGCUUACAAGUAGUCAGAGCCCGUUAAUGGGUGAUGGCGUGCCUUUUGUAGAAUGAACCGGCGAGUUACGAUCUGAUGCAAGGUUAAGCAGGAGAUGUGGAGCCGUAGCGAAAGCGAGUCUGAAUAGGGCGUUGAGUAUUUGGUCGUAGACCCGAAACCAGGUGAUCUACCCAUGGUCAGGUUGAAGUUCAGGUAACACUGAAUGGAGGACCGAACCGACUUACGUUGAAAAGUGAGCGGAUGAACUGUGGGUAGCGGAGAAAUUCCAAUCGAACUUGGAGAUAGCUGGUUCUCUCCGAAAUAGCUUUAGGGCUAGCCUCAAGUGAUGAUUAUUGGAGGUAGAGCACUGUUUGGACGAGGGGCCCCUCUCGGGUUACCGAAUUCAGACAAACUCCGAAUGCCAAUUAAUUUAACUUGGGAGUCAGAACAUGGGUGAUAAGGUCCGUGUUCGAAAGGGAAACAGCCCAGACCACCAGCUAAGGUCCCAAAAUAUAUGUUAAGUGGAAAAGGAUGUGGCGUUGCCCAGACAACUAGGAUGUUGGCUUAGAAGCAGCCAUCAUUUAAAGAGUGCGUAAUAGCUCACUAGUCGAGUGACACUGCGCCGAAAAUGUACCGGGGCUAAACAUAUUACCGAAGCUGUGGAUUGUCCGUAGGACAAUGGUAGGAGAGCGUUCUAAGGGCGUUGAAGCAUGAUCGCAAGGACAUGUGGAGCGCUUAGAAGUGAGAAUGCCGGUGUGAGUAGCGAAAGACGGGUGAGAAUCCCGUCCACCGAUUGACUAAGGUUUCCAGAGGAAGGCUCGUCCGCUCUGGGUUAGUCGGGUCCUAAGCUGAGGCCGACAGGCGUAGGCGAUGGAUAACAGGUUGAUAUUCCUGUACCACCUAGCAUCGUUUUAAUCGAUGGGGGGACGCAGUAGGAUAGGCGAAGCGUACGAUUGGAUUGUACGUCCAAGCAGUGAGAUUGAGUGUUAGGCAAAUCCGGCACUCUUAAGAUUGAGCUGUGAUGGGGAGAGGAAAUUGUUUCCUCGAGUCGUUGAUUUCACACUGCCGAGAAAAGCCUCUAGAUAGAUAAUAGGUGCCCGUACCGCAAACCGACACAGGUAGUCAAGAUGAGAAUUCUAAGGUGAGCGAGCGAACUCUCGUUAAGGAACUCGGCAAAAUGACCCCGUAACUUCGGGAGAAGGGGUGCUCUUUAGGGUGCAAGCCCAGAAGAGCCGCAGUGAAUAGGCCCAAGCGACUGUUUAUCAAAAACACAGGUCUCUGCUAAACCGUAAGGUGAUGUAUAGGGGCUGACGCCUGCCCGGUGCUGGAAGGUUAAGAGGAGUAGUUAGCUUCUGCGAAGCUACGAAUCGAAGCCCCAGUAAACGGCGGCCGUAACUAUAACGGUCCUAAGGUAGCGAAAUUCCUUGUCGGGUAAGUUCCGACCCGCACGAAAGGCGUAACGAUUUGGGCACUGUCUCAACGAGAGACUCGGUGAAAUCAUAGUACCUGUGAAGAUGCAGGUUACCCGCGACAGGACGGAAAGACCCCGUGGAGCUUUACUGUAGCCUGAUAUUGAAAUUCGGCACAGCUUGUACAGGAUAGGUAGGAGCCUUUGAAACGUGAGCGCUAGCUUACGUGGAGGCGCUGGUGGGAUACUACCCUAGCUGUGUUGGCUUUCUAACCCGCACCACUUAUCGUGGUGGGAGACAGUGUCAGACGGGCAGUUUGACUGGGGCGGUCGCCUCCUAAAAGGUAACGGAGGCGCUCAAAGGUUCCCUCAGAAUGGUUGGAAAUCAUUCAUAGAGUGUAAAGGCAUAAGGGAGCUUGACUGCGAGACCUACAAGUCGAGCAGGGUCGAAAGACGGACUUAGUGAUCCGGUGGUUCCGCAUGGAAGGGCCAUCGCUCAACGGAUAAAAGCUACCCCGGGGAUAACAGGCUUAUCUCCCCCAAGAGUUCACAUCGACGGGGAGGUUUGGCACCUCGAUGUCGGCUCAUCGCAUCCUGGGGCUGUAGUCGGUCCCAAGGGUUGGGCUGUUCGCCCAUUAAAGCGGUACGCGAGCUGGGUUCAGAACGUCGUGAGACAGUUCGGUCCCUAUCCGUCGUGGGCGUAGGAAAUUUGAGAGGAGCUGUCCUUAGUACGAGAGGACCGGGAUGGACAUACCUCUGGUGUACCAGUUGUCGUGCCAACGGCAUAGCUGGGUAGCUAUGUAUGGACGGGAUAAGUGCUGAAAGCAUCUAAGCAUGAAGCCCCCCUCAAGAUGAGAUUUCCCAACUUCGGUUAUAAGAUCCCUCAAAGAUGAUGAGGUUAAUAGGUUCGAGGUGGAAGCGUGGUGACACGUGGAGCUGACGAAUACUAAUCGAUUGAAGACUUAAUC